rnacentral:rRNA from 1 species
UGAGCAAUCUGCCCUUCUCAUCGGAAUAAGCGUUGGAAACGACGUCUAAUGCCGAAUACGACCUCCUUUCGCAUGAUCGGAGGUGGAAAGCUCCGGCGGAGAAGGAUGAGCUCGCGGCCUAUCAGCUAGUUGGUGUGGGUAAUGGCCCACAAGGCGACGACGGGUAGCCGGCCUGGAGAGGGUGACCCGGCCACACGUGGGACUGAGACACGGCCCUGACCUCCGUAACGGGGNGCA